ACUGUUCAUAGCACUGGCAACCUCUUCAGACAGCAAAGUCCUGACAUGUGCAGCCGUGUGGAGGAUGCCGAAGGAAUUGGAAUCAGGCAGCCACGAGUCCCCUGAUGAUUCAUCCAGCACUGCACAGACCCUGGAGCUGCUCUGUCACCUUGACAACACAGCCCAUGGCAACAUGGCCUGCCUCACAGUGGCUGACACCCCUGCUACUCCAGCCAAGGCAGCCUGCCUCAGGAGUAGGAACUUACAGAGGGC
rnacentral:lncRNA from 10 species